rnacentral:rRNA from 1 species
GCCAAGGAGUCUAACAUGUGCGCGAGUCAUUGGGUUACUGUUAAAAGCGAACAAGCCUAAAGGCGCAAUGAAAGUGAAGACGGCCUUAGCGUCGAUCGAGGGAGGAUGGCCCGGGUUCGCUCGGGUCCGCACUCCCGGGGCGUCUCACGGUCGUUCGACCAGAGGCGCACCCAGAGCGUACACGUUGGGACCCGAAAGAUGGUGAACUAUGCCUGGUCAGGACGAAGUCAGGGG